rnacentral:rRNA from 1 species
CCGGUGCUUAUUCUUCCGGUACCGUCAUCCCCCGGGCAUAUUAGGACCAGGGAUUUCUUUCCGGACAAAAGUGCUUUACAACCCGAAGGCCUUCUUCACACACGCGGGAUUGCUGGAUCAGGGUUGCGCCCAUUGUCCAAAAUUCCCCACUGCUGCCUCCCGUAGGAGUCUGGGCCGUGUCUCAGUCCCAGUGUGGCUGGUCGUCCUCUCAGACCAGCUACGGAUCGUCGCCUUGGUGAGCCUUUACCUCACCAACUAGCUAAUCCGCAUCGGCCGUCCCUAUAGGCGAGGUCCGAAGAUCCCCCGAUUUCAUCCGUAGAUCGUAUUGCGGGUAUUAAUCCCGGCUUUUCGGCGGGCUAUCCCCCACUACAGGACACGUCCCGAUGUAUUACUCAACCCGUUCGGCAAUUCGGCACC